rnacentral:rRNA from 1 species
GAUGAACGCUAGCGGCAGGCUUAACACAUGCAAGUCGAGGGGCAACAGGGGUAGCAAUACUCGCUGGCGACCGGCAAACGGGUGCGGAACACGUACGCAACAUACCUUUUACUGGGGCAUAGCCUUCUGAAAAGAAGAUUAACACCCCAUAAUAUCAAUGACUGGCAUCAGUUGAUGAUUAAAAAUUUAUUGGUAAGAGAUUGGCGUGCGUCCUAUUAGCUAGUUGGAUGGGUAAUGGCCUACCAAGGCGACGAUAGGUAGCUGGUGUGAGAGCACGACCAGCCACAC